rnacentral:rRNA from 1 species
GAUGAACGCUAGCGACAGGCUUAACACAUGCAAGUCGAGGGGCAGCGAGGGAGUGCUUGCACUUCUGUCGGCGACCGGCGCACGGGUGAGUAACACGUAUGCAACCUGCCCUUGUCAGGGGGAUAAGCGAGGGAAACCUCGUCUAAUACCGCAUAUAUGGUUUUGAGGCAUCUCUUAAUCAGGAAAGAAUUAUCGGACAAGGAUGGGCAUGCGGGACAUUAGGUAGUUGGGGGUGUAACGGACCACCAAGCCGACGAUGUCUAGGGGUUCUGAGAGGAAGGUCCCCCACACUGGUACUGAGACACGGUCCAGACUCCUACGGGAGGCAGCAGUGAGGAAUAUUGGUCAAUGGUCUGACGACUGAACCAGCCAUGCCGCGUGAAGGUGACGGCCCUAUGGGUCUUAAACUUCUUUGUAAGGGAGCAAUAAGGCGUACGUGUACGUCGAUGAGAGUACCUUGCGAAUAAGCAUCGGCUAACUCCGUGCCAGCAG